AUGUGAGUGGGCUUGUUAUAAAAGCAAGUUCAGCCUCCUCUUGCUCUUGCUCUCUUGCCCUUCUGCCUUUUGCCAUGAGAUGACACCAGAUGCAGACCCCUCAACCUUGUACUCCUCAGUCUCCAGAACUGGCGGUGGGAGAAGCAUGAAAUGCAUUUGCAGUGGCCUUGGGCCAUUGGUGGUGUCCGCAGGUGAGACAUCUCGAGUGCCUCAUGGACAAACUUCCUCAUGGAAUCCACUGGAGCAAUUAUGAGAGUCCACGGCCUCUCUUCUCUGGUUCUACCCUCUCCCAAUCUCUCACCUGUGCCGAUCACCUCAGUAAUUUGGGAAACGGGCUAAGGAGGUCUCUCUUGGCACUGAGCUGUGACACCUUGGGGGAGAAAAA
rnacentral:lncRNA from 10 species